rnacentral:rRNA from 1 species
GACGAACGCUGGCGGCGUGCUUAACACAUGCAAGUCGAACGGAAAGGCCCUGCUUUUGUGGGGUGCUCGAGUGGCGAACGGGUGAGUAACACGUGAGUAACCUGCCCUUGACUUUGGGAUAACUUCAGGAAACUGGGGCUAAUACCGGAUAGGAGCUCCUGCUGCAUGGUGGGGGUUGGAAAGUUUCGGCGGUUGGGGAUGGACUCGCGGCUUAUCAGCUUGUUGGUGGGGUAGUGGCUUACCAAGGCUUUGACGGGUAGCCGGCCUGAGAGGGUGACCGGCCACAUUGGGACUGAGAUGCGGCCCAAACUCCUGCGGGAGGCAGCAGUGGGGAAUAUUGCACAAUGGGCGGAAGCCUGAUGCAGCAACGCCGCGUGCGGGAUGACGGCCUUCGGGUUGUAAACCGCUUUCGCCUGUGACGAAGCGUGAGUGACGGUAAUGGGUAAAGAAGCACCGGCUAAGUACGUG